UUCCUGGUACUUAGUAGGUACUUAAAAUGUUUGGUAACCCUAGUCCCAAAAUGCACUGGUAUGGGUCUCUCUCCUCAUUGGUAGGGAGCAAUCCCUGCCUCCUCCAGGGGCCUUGAGAGGCCAAGGAACUGGCGAAGAUUUGCUCUUAGUGUUCUGGAGUCACUUGAAUCUAUUUGGGCUUCUGUAGUUACUUCCAUGGAGACAACCUCACUUAAUGGAAAAAAACUCAGGGAAGAAACUAACAUGCUAGGAACUGGCCAUCUCCAUCAGGUCCCUAUCCCCAGCUUGCUACAUCAGAGACUUUGAGGAACUUCACCUUGGGGCUUCUAGAAGGACCACAUUGUCUAUCAGCAGCCCCUUUGGGUGGGUGGCAUAAGAACCAGCAGAUGGUUCCCACUUGUUACCAAUUAUUCCCUCUUCAUAUCCAGUUACAUCUUGUAGAGAUUAUCAAAGGUAUUGUCUGGACUAAGUCUGGACUCCUGAAUUGUGACUGUUUGACUACAUCACAGAACCCAAAGAAAAGCCACCGUACAAAUGUGGCUUUUUAUCAUCUACAGAGUUGAUUUAUAUGCCAUGUGCUCCUUCAUCCAAGCUACUGAUAAAAAUGUUGACCGGAACAAGGCCAAAGACAUAUUCCUGGGAUAAUUCACUAUAGACUUUCCUUCAGGUUCAAUCCUUACCUGGAAAAUAAUUUGCCUUGAUAGAGAAAAUAGAAACAAGAAAGUAGGAAUUUCUCUGGGUUCCGUUGUCAUGCCAUCCAUCUCAAGUGUUCAGGAUCUUCUUGCAAUCCUCUUACCUAUGGCAUAAUUUUUUAAAAGUCAUUUUUGUUGCUCUUAGCAUUCAGCACAAAUCUUAGCUUUUUCAGGAAUUUAAUAUUCCUGACAUUAUUGUUGCAGGACUAUGCCUCACUUUUUGUAUUCAUAGUCAGUUACCUUUCCUACCACUUAUCAUUUGUACAUGUCUUUUUUGAUAUUUGAGUUUUUUCAAGUGCAGGAAUAUGAAUAUCUUCAGACCAUUCCCUUUCAUCUUCCUCAUUUGAAUCAUUGGAACCAGCUUGCAUUUAUAUUGUCACAAUUUCAUUCUUUUUAAAAAAUUUUGUAAUUUUGAUUACAUUAAAUUAAAAGG